rnacentral:rRNA from 1 species
UACGUAGGGGGCAAGCGUUGUCCGGAAUUAUUGGGCGUAAAGAGCUCGUAGGCGGUUUGUCGCGUCUGCUGUGAAAGCCCGGGGCUCAACCCCGGGUCUGCAGUGGGUACGGGCAGACUAGAGUGCAGUAGGGGAGACUGGAAUUCCUGGUGUAGCGGUGAAAUGCGCAGAUAUCAGGAGGAACACCGAUGGCGAAGGCAGGUCUCUGGGCUGUAACUGACGCUGAGGAGCGAAAGCAUGGGGAGCGAACAGG